ACAAGAAAUCAAUCUUAUUCUUGUGAAAGUAGAUAAUACUACUCUUUCAACUACCAUUAUUGCUAAUUAAAAUAUAUUUUAUUAUUAAAAUAUAUAAUAUAGAU